rnacentral:lncRNA from 1 species
CUUCAUUAAAUGUCAAUAAUCCACUUCAAUUACAAAAUCAAUUGAAGUGUAAGAAUAAAAGUAUAUAAUAACAAUACAUAUUACUCCUAAUCUACAUAUAGAACUACUACUACAUUCUCAUUUCUCCUUUACCAUGAGCGCAGAGUUCUCGAAACUGCAGCAAGAUGAGAAUCAUGUCAUGUGCAUCCUCCAAUCUUUUUCAUGCUAUGUGCAGCCACAAACAAACAUUACUGCAUUCAGAAAUUGUAGAGAGAAUAACUAAAACGUUGUUAAAUCAGUUACAACAUAGAUUGAAAAAUGGACAUUGAAUUAUUUACAAGCUUCAGCAGUCAGCAGCUAAAGAUGCCAAGUGCAAACAAAUGUGUAUGCAGAGUAUAUCACCACAUGUGUAUGCAUAUAUGCAUGUAUAUAUAUAGCUAUAGAGUAUAUAACAAUCGAUUGUGAGAAUACUAGAAGCAAUUGCUACUAAGAUCAAAAUCAAAUUUGUGUUCACAUGUCACUAGUCAUCAACUUGUCAUCUAGUAAAGACAAUAUAUAAUAAAUUCAACAAGGCAUCAAUGCAUUAACGAGUUCGUAAUACCUUAAUUCCCUAACAAGAGAUGUCUAGAGCCUUAGCAGCAACUGUGGCAGCAAGUGCCUUCCUUUGAAAUAGGUGUCAUCAAUAAUGUAAGAAAUGAGAGACUAUAACUUUUAUAAAUGAUACUAAUCUAGUAAAAACAAAAGGUUCAAGAAAUUGACAUGAUACAACAAGGAAUAAACCUCAAGGGAAAGGAGAUAUACUGCAUAAAAACAUGAAAAACUUUUUAGAAAACCAUUAACCAGUGAAGACCCCCUACCUGAGAUCGCUAAUGUAUAUGUACAACUCCCAACAAGUACCACUUGACCAACCUUCAGUUCCCUUGUGUCAUUGUUCCUAAUAUGAACAUAUACACCAAAGUCAAUCCUAACAUCAAUUUCCUUUAAGACCAAAUCACAACAGUAGCUAGGCCUCCAUAUGUGGUCUUAUUCCAAAAAAAGAACAUUUGUUCAAAAACAUUGAUAAGAACACAUAAAGAUAAUGUUUGUCAAGAAUGGAGCUUUUCC